AUUGAACGCUGGCGGCAUGCCUUACACAUGCAAGUCGAACGGUAACGGGCCUUCGGGUGCCGACGAGUGGCGAACGGGUGAGUAAUGCAUCGGAACGUACCUUUCAGUGGGGGAUAACGUAGCGAAAGUUACGCUAAUACCGCAUAUUCUGUGAGCAGGAAAGCAGGGGAUCGCAAGACCUUGCGCUGAUUGAGCGGCCGAUGUCAGAUUAGCUAGUUGGUGAGGUAAAGGCUCACCAAGGCGACGAUCUGUAGCGGGUCUGAGAGGAUGAUCCGCCACACUGGAACUGAGACACGGUCCAGACUCCUACGGGAGGCAGCAGUGGGGAAUUUUGGACAAUGGGGGCAACCCUGAUCCAGCCAUGCCGCGUGAGUGAAGAAGGCCUUCGGGUUGUAAGCUCGUUCGGCCGGGAAGAAAGUCGUAGUGGGUUAAGUACCUGUGCGGAGUGACGGUACCGGCGAUAAGAAGACACCGGCUAACCUACGU
rnacentral:rRNA from 1 species